rnacentral:rRNA from 1 species
AGCAGCCGCGGUAAUUCCAGCUCCAAUAGCGUAUAUUAAAGUUGCUGCAGUUAAAAAGCUCGUAGUUGAAUUUCGGGACCGAUAUAUCGGUCGUGCCUCGGUACGUACUGGUAUUUUCGGUUUCUACCUUCUGACGAACCUUGAUGUCAUUAAUUUGGUGUCUUGGGGAAUCAGGACUGUUACUUUGAAAAAAUUAGAGUGUUUAAAGCAGGCUCACGCUUGAAUACAUUAGCAUGGAAUAAUGAAAUAGGACGUUUGAUUCUAUUUUGUUGGUUUCUAGGAUCGACGUAAUGAUUAAUAGGGAUAGUUGGGGGCAUUAGUAUUCAAUUGUCAGGGGUGAAAUUCUUGGAUUUAUUGAAGACUAACUACUGCGAAAGCAUUUGCCAGGGAUGUUUUCAUUAAUCAAGAACGAAAGUUAGGGGAUCGAGGACGAUCAGAUACCGUCGUAGUCUUAACCAUAAACUAUGCCGACUAGGGAUCGGAUGAUGUUAAUCUUUAAUGUACUCAUUCGGCGCCUUAC